AACGAACGCUGGCGGCAUGCCUAACACAUGCAAGUCGAACGAGACCUUCGGGUCUAGUGGCGCCCGGGUGCGUAACGCGUGGUAACCUGCCCUUACGUUCGGACUAACUCCCCGAAAGGGGUGCUAAUACCGGAUAAUGUCUUCGGACCAACGAUUUAUCGCCUUUGGAUGGGCCCGUGUCGGAUUAGCUAGGUGGUAGUGUAAAGGCCUACCCAGGCGGCGAUCCGUAGCUGGUCUGAGAGGAUGAACAGCCACACUGGGACUGAGGCACGGCCCAGACUCCUACGGGAAGCAGCAGUGGGGAAUUUUGGGCGAUGGGCGCAAGCCGAAUCCAGCAAUGCCGCGUGCGGGAAGAAGGACUUCGGGUUGGAAACCGAUUUUGUACGGAGCGAAAAAGAUCUGGCUAAUACCUGGGGCUGAUGACGGUACCGUAAGAAUAAGCACCGGCUAACUACGUG
rnacentral:rRNA from 1 species